rnacentral:rRNA from 1 species
GACGAACGCUGGCGGCGUGCCUAAUACAUGCAAGUAGAACGCACAGUUUAUACCGUAGCUUGCUACACCAUAGACUGUGAGUUGCGAACGGGUGAGUAACGCGUAGGUAACCUGCCUGGUAGCGUGGGAUAACUAUUGGAAACGAUAGCUAAUACCGCAUCAUAUUAAUUAUUGCAUGAUAAUUAAUUGAAAGCUGCAAUUGCACCACUACCAGAUGGACCUGCUUUGUAUUAGCUAGUAGGUGAGGUAACGGCUCACCUAGGCGACGAUACAUAGCCGGCCUGAGAGGGUGAACCGCCACAAUGGGACUGAGACAAGGCCCAGAAUCCUACGGGAGGCAGCAGUAGGGAAUCUUCGGAAAUAGACGAAAGGCUGACCGAGCAAAGCCGCGUGAGUGAAGAAGGUUUUCGGAUCGUAAAGCUCUGUUGUAAGAGAAGAAAGGGUGUGAGAGUGGAAAGUUCACACUGUGACGGUAUCUUACCAGAAAGGGACGGCUAACUACGUG